rnacentral:misc_RNA from 1 species
UCUCCGUUGGUGAACCAGCGGAGGGAUCAUUAUAGAGUUGCAAAACUCCCAAACCAUUGUGAACGUUACCUAUCCCGUUGCUUCGGCGGGCGGCCCGGGCCCCGCGCCCGGCGCCCCCCGGCCCCCCGUGGGCGCCCGCCGGAGGUAAACCAAACCCUUGAAUUGCAUGGCCUCUCUGAGUCUUCCGUACUGAAUAAGUCAAAACUUUCAACAACGGAUCUCUUGGUUCUG